rnacentral:rRNA from 1 species
CCUACGGGGGGCUGCAGUGAGGAAUAUUGGUCAAUGGACGAGAGUCUGAACCAGCCAAGUAGCGUGAAGGAUGACUGCCCUAUGGGUUGUAAACUUCUUUUAUAAAGGGAUAAAACGAGGCACGUGUGCCUUUUUGCAUGUACUUUAUGAAUAAGGAUCGGCUAACUCCGUGCCAGCAGCCGCGGUAAUACGGAGGAUCCGAGCGUUAUCCGGAUUUAUUGGGUUUAAAGGGAGCGUAGAUGGGUUGUUAAGUCAGUUGUGAAAGUUUGCGGCUCAACCGGAAAAUUGCAAUUGAUACUGGCAGUCGUGAGUACAGUUGAGGUAGGCGGAAUUCGUGGUGUAGCGGUGAAAUGCUUAGAUAUCACGAAGAACCCCGAUUGGGAAGGCAGCUUACUAAACUGUGACUGACAUUGAUGCUCGAAAGUGUGGGUAUCAAACAGGAUUAGAUACCCUUGUAGUC